GGGUAUAUAGCUCAAUUGGUAGAGUGCUUGCCUUGCAUGCACAGGCCCUGGGUUCAAUCCCCAGCACCA
rnacentral:tRNA from 1 species